rnacentral:rRNA from 1 species
GCUACACCGAUUGAAAAUUGAGUGGCGAACGGGUGAGUAACACGUGGGUAACCUGCCCAAAAGAGGGGGAUAACACUUGGAAACAGGUGCUAAUACCGCAUAACCAUGAUGACCGCAUGGUCAUUAUGUAAAAGAUGGUUUCGGCUAUCACUUUUGGAUGGACCCGCGGCGUAUUAACUUGUUGGUGGGGUAACGGCCUACCAAGGUAAUGAUACGUAGCCGAACUGAGAGGUUGAUCGGCCACAUUGGGACUGAGACACGGCCCAAACUCCUACGGGAGGCAGCAGUAGGGAAUCUUCCACAAUGGGCGCAAGCCUGAUGGAGCAACGCCGCGUGAGUGAAGAAGGUCUUCGGAUCGUAAAACUCUGUUGUUAGAGAAGAACAUGCUAGAGAGUAACUGUUCUUGUAUUGACGGUAUCUAACCAGAAAGCCACG